rnacentral:rRNA from 1 species
AGCAGUAGCCGCGGGAAUACGUAGGUCCCGAGCGUUGUCCGGAUUUAUUGGGCGUAAAGCGAGCGCAGGCGGUUAGAAAAGUCUGAAGUGAAAGGCAGUGGCUCAACCAUUGUAGGCUUUGGAAACUGUUUAACUUGAGUGCAGAAGGGGAGAGUGGAAUUCCAUGUGUAGCGGUGAAAUGCGUAGAUAUAUGGAGGAACACCGGUGGCGAAAGCGGCUCUCUGGCUUGUAACUGACGCUCAUGCACGAAAGCGUGGGGAGCAAACAGGAUUAGAUACCCCAGUAGUCCCUGUCUCUUAUACA